UAUUAAAUUAACUAAAUAUCCUAAUCUCUAAUGGGCCUAAUAUAACACCUCUCAUUUUACUAAUUAGCACACAAUGAUAAGCCCACUUACUCAAAUAACACCACAAUUAUAUUAUUAUUUCUUAUAAUAAUUUCUACGACUUUCGACUAAUUUCCGACUAACCACAAUAAUUACUUAAAUAUUAAAAAUAACAAAUAAUUAUUUUUUUGGCGUUACAAAACCAACUCCAA
rnacentral:lncRNA from 1 species